ACUAAGCUAGGUUGUGCAAAAUUCAUAAAUCUGUUUGUGCAUUUUUCAGAGUGACGUACACCACUAUUUUUCAUCCGAGUGACUCUGAAAAGUGAUCGACAAUAAAGAAGCUAAGUGGUCUCGUGCUUUCUAGGCGAUUCGCGCAAGUUCUAGAGCGAUUUUAUUGGUGGAAAUUUAGGGGCAGAGGGAACCAUGAUGCCGGGAACGAAAUAAUAGGAAGUCGUACAAAGCUAGACGAGUUUCUGAAGCAGCAUUUUUGUCCAAUCGAGAAUGGCUGCUGAUUCGGUCGAAUUUUGUGUAAGAAGAAUAUAAUAAUUUGUACGAUUGAAGAUUAGUAUUUCAAGGAGAUAAAAAAUAAUAUUUUAGAUUACAUCAAGAUGCGGCUAAAAUUCUGUUGAUAUUCUUAUACAGAGUUGGAGUGAUUGUCGGCCAUAGAAUAGAUUGAAUUCCGUAGACCCUUGGUGGGAAAACAGUUGAUGAUUUUUUUAACCCACCCAACUACCCAAGCAUGUGAACAGACCUCGAACGGACUGAUUUUCGAGAGACUCGGGUAUUGAAAGGCUGUUGAAAGAAGUAAUUAUUGUUAAUAGUUGACAAAUAACAAGCUGUGUUAAAGUGAGUUCCAGUUUAUUAGGGGGUAAAGAAGUACCGGGUGAUAGAAUAAUCAGUUUGGUAUCACCGAGAAUUUGGGAGGCUGUAAAUCAUAGAAAAUUAAAACUGUGGAUGCUGCGAGGCUUAUACGUAUGUAUGUAUGUGAGAUCUACGUGAUUCUGGUCUGCUGCUGCUGUCGUCGUACCAUCGUAUCGGACCGUUGUAGUUUGUCAUUAUUAUUAAAAACUGCAAAAUUACGGUUAUAAAUACGAACAAUAAUUGUGUCACUAAAACGAACAAGGGAAUAGUACGCGUUAUAAUACGUAACGCCAUAAUUAACGGACAUUUAAUAAUCACUUAGAAGACGCCUGCCUUAGCAAUCAGCGGCGGUGUUUAUUCAACCCAAGUGGUAUCAAUGUUGUCUGGCAAUGGUGUGUAAAGAGAACGUGGUAUCAUGGUUUGGGAAUCUCUCCAGUUAUAAACGUAUCGAUGUGAUGUGCACGCUGCUGAAUAUGUGUCUUCCGUUCGAAGUACGAUACCUCGGCACAUGUGUCGAGGAUCUUGGCAAACGGGACUAUAAUGAUCUUCGAGAUACUGAGCACCGAGCCAACAAUGCGUCGGAUCUUGCAGAGCUCACUAAUCUUGGUGUAACAGACAAGAGGACGCGGAGGAAACUUUCCCUCUAUAUGGCUUUGUUGCACUCGUGUAACUACGCCUGCGCUGUCAUUUUGUACAAAAACCUUUCCAGCGUUGAUUUUCAAGAGAUUGUUAAUCUACUGAAUGGAACCACAUUCACACAGGACGAUCAAACCCUGGAUGAGCUUCUGCUGUUGUAUACAAUGGCCUUGAAUCAUCCAGCAUUUACCUACGAGCAAAAAUCUGUUUUUGGCAAUAUUUUUGCAAAACUGCAAGAAGAAGAAGUCAGACUUAAUCCUCCUAAACCGGUCACCAACUCCUCAUUCAAAUCAGCACAAGGAUGCACUCCAUGUGCUACCCCGAAUGACAGGGUGGGGGAUACCGAAACUCUAACAAACUGCUUGAUACCUCCUCCAACAAUGCAGCAAUUUCACGGAGAUAUGUCUGCCAGAAACAACACCAUCGUCACAGGAAUACCACCUGGUCUGACGAUGCCACCACCUGGAUUGUGUCUUCCCGGUCCCGAUCAGAUGUCCAUGGGUUCUGGUGGAGCGGCUCAAUAUCUGCACCUCGGUUUUCCCUCCGUUAAUCACAUGCCCCCGUGGUCAGGUCAGGUUAUGAUGAGCAACCCAGUUCUGUAUCAAACAGGCGAUGUAUUGGCUUAUCCUUCUUCUCCUUUAGUGAGUCGUCAGUCAUCUCCAUCACAAUCCAGAUCUCCUAGUCGAAGCAAUUCCCCAAUGAGUAGUCGUAGGAACAAUGCCAUCCCACGCACCUCCUCUCAAGCCACUCAGUCUACUUCAAACACCCUGACAACAUCCACAAGUACAAGCUGCACUCAAACGAGCAUUUCACACUCGAGCGCAGCCUCUUUACCAUCCUUGCAGCCAUCCGCUACUAGCACUACCACCACUAGCAGUGGCGGUAGCAAAGGACAGUCCUCUCUUCCCAGUCAAUCUCCGCUGCCGCCUUCGCAAUGGUCUGUUCCUCCACCCAUAGCUGUUACUGCAGCCCUUCCUCCAGGCAAUUCUCGACACAGUAACGCCGAGGGUUCAAUGACAGGUCAAACACCAGCUGGUAGUUCUAAACAGACACCACCUCCUCCGCGGCUCAGAUCAACGGCUACCACUGUAGAAUCUUUGAGAGAAACUGUGGGCAAGGAAAUACCAAGUUUCAAAAAUAAUCUUCAAAAUCUAUCCAUUGACGAGAUUAGGAGAUUGGGUGAUGAGGAAUUGCGGGAAUUGGGAUUGCCAUCAAAUGCAGUAGGUCAACUACAAAGUAUCAUGAAGAACCAAACUCCGAAUGGUUUGAAUCUGCUUUCGUCUGACAAGAAACUGGAGAGUUCAACCAACGUCAUUACACAUCCCGCUCUAGAACACGUUGAGAACGAGGUUAUCAGAGGAAGUGACGCGUUGAGCGAAGCAAGUCCCACCGGCACAAAAUGCAUCCCGUUACAGCAACCGCAGCACCAAGUUUUGCAUCAUCAUCAUAAUCACGCAAGUACGAACGUGAGACGGUAUCCGACUAUUCCGCCCAUGGACCCAUCCCAGAUGCAGAUGUACCCUCAACCACCACCAGUUUACACCGCACAAAACACGCCAUGUUACGCUUGCCUAACAAUGCCAGUGGGUGGAGUUCAGAAUCGUUAUGCCAGGUGUAACGCCCAGCAAGUUUACUGCCUUACGCAGCUUCAGACUUUGAGACUGGAUCCGGAAAGCAGUCGACACUGUUCUCAGAGCAGUAGUUCCGAAAGUACCGGAAGUCGAUCUCCUCCCGAAACACCACCAGCGGCGCCCUGGGUUGGCGGUGUAGAAUCUUCAGCUUCAAAUCAGUUACCUACAGAUCACACCAACUCUGGAGGAGUAGUACCACCUCAUCCGACGAUUUCCGUGUCGUCAUCUCACCAAGCUCCUCAACCUUCUAUGCAGCAACCCUUACCUGAGAAACCAAGGAACAGUAGGAAAAACCCGACUCACUACGUACGUCACAAAAACCAAAUGGUCAACGGUGGGCCGCAAAGUAUUCCUCACUGCGUUCCCUUCACACCCCAGCCGUCACAUUCGCCAAUAACUUACCUCCAGCACGGACAUUUCCCAUCCCUGAGACCUGCCGCUGGUAUCUACUCAAACUUUUCUCAUGCUGCGGCAUAUGGCAGGCCCACUUAUCCCACGUAUCAACCAAAUGGCGAAAUGAUGUACCAGUACCCUGGCGCACAUCCUGGGCAUCAUCCUGGCUCUGCAGGAACCCCACCGCCACCCUCAGCGCCAGCUCCGCCUCAAGCACCUUACCUGCCUCCUACUCCGGUGGUUACUUACUCGACAGUAGUACCACCGCCAAAAGUAUCUUGCUACAACUGCGGAAGCAGCAAUCAUCACGCUGCGGAUUGCAAGGACCAAACGAUGGAAGACCUCACUAAGGGAGGUAGGUCACAGCCAUCGCGCAAUCCGUAGAAUCUGGUGUUUUCUAGGCGGAUGAAAUUUAGUCCGCCUGGAAUCGCAGGGAUAUCUACGCGCGUUUCUGAUAUGUAUUUCCCAGUAUCGACUGGAUUAUACGAUACUCAAACAACCUGGAGAGUGUCAGAGUUCCGACAAGUGAUCCCCUAUCGUG
rnacentral:misc_RNA from 1 species